AUGCAAGUCGAGCGAAUGGAUUAAGAGCUUGCUCUUAUGAAGUUAGCGGCGGACGGGUGAGUAACACGUGGGUAACCUGCCCAUAAGACUGGGAUAACUCCGGGAAACCGGGGCUAAUACCGGAUAACAUUUUGAACUGCAUGGUUCGAAAUUGAAAGGCGGCUUCGGCUGUCACUUAUGGAUGGACCCGCGUCGCAUUAGCUAGUUGGUGAGGUAACGGCUCACCAAGGCAACGAUGCGUAGCCGACCUGAGAGGGUGAUCGGCCACACUGGGACUGAGACACGGCCCAGACUCCUACGGGAGGCAGCAGUAGGGAAUCUUCCGCAAUGGACGAAAGUCUGACGGAGCAACGCCGCGUGAGUGAUGAAGGCUUUCGGGUCGUAAAACUCUGUUGUUAGGGAAGAACAAGUGCUAGUUGAAUAAGCUGGCACCUUGACGGUACCUAACCAGAAAGCCACGGCUAACUACGUGCCAGCAGCCGCGGUAAUACGUAGGUGGCAAGCGUUAUCCGGAAUUAUUGGGCGUAAAGCGCGCGCAGGUGGUUUCUUAAGUCUGAUGUGAAAGCCCACGGCUCAACCGUGGAGGGUCAUUGGAAACUGGGAGACUUGAGUGCAGAAGAGGAAAGUGGAAUUCCAUGUGUAGCGGUG
rnacentral:rRNA from 1 species